GUGUCAGCCGCCGCGGUAAUACGGAGGGUGCAAGCGUUAUCCGGAUUCACUGGGUUUAAAGGGUGCGUAGGUGGGUUGGUAAGUCAGUGGUGAAAUCUCCAGGCUUAACUUGGAAACUGCCAUUGAUACUAUCAGUCUUGAAUACCGUGGAGAUGAGCGGAAUAUGUCAUGUAGCGGUGAAAUGCUUAGAUAUGACAUAGAACACCAAUUGCGAAGGCAGCUCGUUACACGAAUAUUGACACUGAUGCACGAAAGCGUGGGGAUCAAACAGGAUUAGAAACCCUAGUAGUCC
rnacentral:rRNA from 1 species